rnacentral:rRNA from 1 species
UGAAUGGUUGGACGAGAAAUCAACUUUCUUUAAUAUAUACUUAAAACUUAAUCUUUGAGUCAAAAAGCUUAAAUUUUAUUAAGGGACGAGAAGACCCUAUAGAACUUCAUUAGUUUAUUGGACCACACAAUUUUUUUGUUUACUUGUGUGGUUUAUGUAUAUUAAUUGUGUUGGGGUGACAUAGAAAUUUUAUUAACUUUCUUUUUUUAUAUUCAUUGAUUAGUGUAUUUUUAAGAUCCAGGUUUAUCUUGAUUAUAAGUUUAAGUUACCUUAGGGAUAACAGCGUAAUUCUUUUGGAGAGUUCUAAUCGAUGAAAGAGUUUGCGACCUCGAUGUUGGAUUAAAAUUAGUAUUAGGAGUAGAAGAUUAAAUACUAGGUCUGUUCGACCUUUAAAUUUUUACA